rnacentral:misc_RNA from 1 species
AAGUCGUAACAAGGUAACCGUAGGUGAACCUGCGGUUGGAUCAUUAUUGAUUUUGUUAAAUAAUAACCAAAAGUUUAACAGUGUUUGGUGUCAAAACCAUUCGCAUACACCUGUGAACUGUGACUGUUUCUGGGUCCUAAUGCUCUCGAGCGACAGGGCCCGACAUAUUAACUAUAUACUAAUGUCUGAAUAAAUUUAAAUAAAAACAACUUUUGACAACGGAUCUCUUGGCUCUC